GACUGUAAAUACUGGACAAACGGAUUCCAUUGGCUUCAAUAACACGUUUGUUGUCUAUAAUGGGAGGUGGCCACCACCGCCAUUUUGACCGUGUCACAGGUUCCGUCCAGCCCAGACAAUUCCAUAAAAGGGAAGAGAGGAGGCGCUGAGGGUGUGGCUGUAAGGCUGGGCUCGAGUGACGACACCCAGGCGAACUAGCUACGAGCUAACCUGAAGCUAACCCUGGCUAACCCAAAGCUAAAGCGGAGGUGGGAGCCGAGCUAACGGAUGUAGCCACCUAGCUUCAACCCAACCGGAGCUAACUGGAACACCCAUCGACCUGAACCUUACACGGAGUUUAGGUGGAGGUUUUCUGCGCCUGUUCGUGAGAAGUACCUGUAUUAAAAAAGUUUUAAAUCGGUAAGUUUAUAAUUUAUUUCCGUAAUGAAUACAUUUUGCUUUGAGCAAGUUUUCAGUAGUUUUUUUCGGCGCUAUCACUCCUGAGUCGCACCAGCCAUUAAAUGUAUCAUGAAGAAGAGAAAAUAUAUUUAAGUCGUAUUUUGGGGGGACAUUUUAUUAUCUUUCUUACAAAAUCUGAGACCAAGAGUUUCACAUUGCAACACAAGCACCGGUAACCAUAACAGAAUGAACAGCCAGCAGAGGAGAGGAUGGCGGUGUUUCAAACCCUCCCGGCCGGCGUGUAGAGCUCAUUCCUGGGCUGGAGCCGGCCCUCAGCACCCCGCCACAGGCUCUAACAGAUGCUGGCGGUGUUUCAUAUAUUUCCAAAACGUAAUACUUGUUUGUAUCUUGUACAGCCAACUAGCCUUUAUUCUGGACUCAGUACAAUUUACCAAAAGUAAAGAGACAUUAUACAGAUGAAGUAAGCACAAGAUAACUUACUGGAAGACACAGAGUUAUCAUCAGAACCAGAACAAGAGAGCCUGAUAACAGUCAUGUGAAAAUAACAGUUAAAAAGUAUGUAUGUAUAAUAGAAAUAAAAAUAUAUUAGAAUUAGUGUAACUCACUGUGAUCCAAACAAAUCAGCCAUAGCUGAUUAGUAAAUAUGACAUGAGGUCUGGGAGUUUUUAAGUUUCAUUCUUUUAUUACAUUUUUUUCUUAGAUCUAUUAAAAGGUCACCAUGGCAGCCUGUGUGUCAACGUCAGCUACACAAAGCAGCAAGUCCAUUUGGAUCAUUGGAGACAGCUGAGUGAGGCGUGGUGCCCAGAGAGCUGCAGAGACAACCUUGGCCUCCCUGACGUCUGUGUCUCCUGGUUUGGAUGGGACGGACCAUCGACAUACAUACAUGUGCCGACACUUUGCGCCCUGUUUUAUAAACUGUAGUGUUAAAAAUAAAUGUUUUUGCUCAAUUACUGGAAUUUCUUUGGUUAAGACAAAAGUGAGGAAUAAUCAUUUACAAGUUAUUUGUACAACAGGCCCAUUUUAAAUCCCAACAGUUUCUUAGCAGACAAUAGAAAUGUGUUCUUUACUAACUUUACUUGGUUUGAAAAUCUUACUAAAAUAAACCUGAGUGCCGUAUUGCAAAACCCAAUCAUACUUGUUAUGUAAACAUUAGCUUUGUAGAUAUUUUUUACAGAUAUAUAUUUGUGUGCAACAAAAACCAAACUUAAAUAAUUUGUCAUUCUUUAUUGAAAAACAACAAAAUACAGGUAUACAGAAGUGUGGGAAAAUGAUAAUGUGAAAGUAUUGCACUAUAAAUGAAGUGAGAUGAGAUGAAGGUGAGAUGAAGGUGGACGCCAGCGGGCUGGACGCCGGACGAAGAAACCUGGAGACGGAUCGCUCAGACAGGAAGGGAAGAGCUUCCUCUUACCUUGAUGGAAUUAAAGUUAGCCGUCGUCUGAACGCCCAACCGUACGGUCUGAGGUCAAAGGUCACAGGAAACACACACCAGUCAGCAGUCAUACAGAUGCAUAAAGAUAACUGUAGCCAUGGCAACCAGCUGACAUGUCCCCACUUUCACCAGCACCUGGUGCCUGCCGGGUCACCUGAAUUCCUGUGUGAUGUCAGCACGGUCGGCCGUGACUGCUGCCAUCAGAGGUGACCUCUGAUCAGCUGAAUGAACUCACCUUCUAGGGUGACGCCGUGUUAGAGUCGGCUUCAUCCUGUAAACAAACAAACAAACAAACAAAUGAGUGGUAACAAAAACACCACGUCUGGUUCUAGUGGAGGCGGAGGACAACAUGCACCUUUCCAGGAGCAGAACCCAGAUGUUCUUGUUGCUACAAACAGAGACGAGCAGAGUUAACAAACCAGGAAGUGAGAGGGACCAGCUGCUGCAGACAGGUGACGCUCACCUGAGCCGGAACCAUAGGAGCCUCCUCAGCCAUCAGACCUUCUGACUCCAGUUCAGAUGCCACCUUGUUGAUGUCCCUCAGGCGGGACUCGUUGGCCUUCAGGUCCUGCAGGACAAAAGCACCUGCUGAUUACCUUGUUGCGUUCGGGUUAACAGGUCUGGUGUUAGAACGUGGUGGAUAAGAAUGUUCUGACGGGCCGAGGGUUCUGAACUCACCCUGCAGGACUGGGCCUGCUCCUUCAGGGCCUGGAUGCUGCUGCCGUAAGCCGACAGGUCCGACAUCAGGGCCUCGUGCUUCUUCAGGAGAGCCUGUGGAGCAGAACAUCAGAACCUUCAGCUCGUCUGACACAAGUGGAGCUUUCUCGCAGCGAUGGUCCAAUCGGAUCCGCGACCGUAAAACAAACCCUGCUCAGUUCACCGCAGACGCAGCUCUGCGGGUGUUUAGUGGAAAAGCGUGAGCCUUCUGCCGGCUGCCACGUGUCAUGGCUGCUCUGCAGCGGGAACACACAUCACAGCUUGUAAACCGUUUGAAAUAAGAGCGACGGGAACACGUUUGUCAUCACUUCCUGUGCGAGGCCAGCACUUCUACCCCUAACCCAUGAGACGCUCAAACGAGCAACGACGUCUGGUAGACAACCGAAGGAAAUGACAAAUACAGAAACACUAAUUAUGAAGGACUGGAAAGAGAGCAAAGAAAAGCGAUUGGAGUUUCUCAGGAAGUGACUUCCAUACCUCGGCCAAGUCCUCGUCUUUCCCUUAGUCUGGACUUCCAACGAUGGGCUCCUUCUCCCUCAUCCAGGACUCGGCCUCAUUAGCAUCCGCAAAGUACUGCUGGGCCUGCAGAGAGUCCUCCAGGUCCUGCCUCCUCUGGGACGCCUUGGCCUUCAGCGUGUCCCAACGUCCAUGAAGCUCCCACAGUUUAGUCUUCACUUCCUCACCAGCGAAGUGACCUGGACCCAAAAAAAGUGAGCCAGAACCUGCAGACACCUCAGAAACAUGUCAGGACCAGACCUGCUCUACCUUCUUCCACCAUGGUCUCUCCUUUCUGGGUGACAGCCUUGAUGCGAGGUUCAUGACCUGUGAUCUCAGCCUGCAGAGCCUGGUGCUUCUUCAGCAGGUUCUGGACACCAAUCAGGUCCUUCCC